rnacentral:rRNA from 1 species
UACGGAGGGUGCAAGCGUUAUCCGGAUUCACUGGGUUUAAAGGGUGCGUAGGUGGGAAGGUAAGUCAGUGGUGAAAUCCCCGAGCUUAACUUGGGAACUGCCAUUGAUACUAUCUUUCUUGAAUACCUUGGAGGUGAGCGGAAUAUGUCAUGUAGCGGUGAAACGCUUAGAUAUGACAUAGAACACCAAUUGCGAAGGCAGCUCACUACACGGUCAUUGACACUGAGGCACGAAAGCGCGGGGAUCAAACAGG